rnacentral:misc_RNA from 1 species
AAAGAGUAUCAUCUAAUAUACAGUACAAAACAGCUCAGAAGAAAGGAAGACUAAUUAAACAAUAGCGAUAGGAAGUUAGAUGAGCAAAACUCAGAAUCAAUGGCCAUCACAUGGGCCAUUAAAUUACAACACACAAAACAACUUAGCUCUUCGACUUUGAGUGCUUUACAAGCCAAUCAAUAACAGAAUCUAUGUUGGUUGAGUUCUUGCAAGAGAUCAUGAAGCAGCAAACUUCUCUAUCAGUAAUCGACUUCAAAUCCAUUGCAUCAGUCAAAGCCUGCUUUGACAGAGCUCCUGG